rnacentral:rRNA from 1 species
UACAGAGGUCUCAAGCGUUGUUCGGAUUCAUUGGGCGUAAAGGGUGCGUAGGCGGCGCGGUAAGUCGGGUGUGAAAUCUCGGAGCUUAACUCCGAAACUGCAUUCGAUACUGCCGUGCUUGAGGACUGGAGAGGAGACUGGAAUUUACGGUGUAGCGGUGAAAUGCGUAGAUAUCGUAAGGAAGACCAGUGGCGAAGGCGGGUCUCUGGACAGUUCCAUGACGCUGGAGGCACGGAAGGUCAGGGGAGCAAACGGG